rnacentral:hammerhead_ribozyme from 1 species
AUCGAGCUGAGAAGUCCCAAAUAGAACGAAAUGUGCGUCCUGGAU